rnacentral:rRNA from 1 species
UCCCUCUUUUUCCCGCGUUAUUCGGAAUUAUUGGGCGUAAAGGGCGCGUAGGCGGUUUUUUAAGUCGGAUGUGCAAUCCCUGGGCUCAACCCAGGAACUGCAUCCGAGACUGGAAGGCUAGAGUACUGGAGAGGGUGGUGGAAUUCCUCGUGUAGCGGUGAAAUGCGUAGAGAUGAGGAGGAACACCAGUGGCGAAGGCGGCCACCUGGACAGUAACUGACGCUGAGGCGCGAAAGCGUGGGUAGCAAACAGG